rnacentral:rRNA from 1 species
UACGAAGGGGGCGAGCGUUGUUCGGAUUUACUGGGCGUAAAGCGCACGUAGGCGGGUUGUUAAGUCAGGGGUGAAAUCCUGGAGCUCAACUCCAGAACUGCCUUUGAUACUGGCAACCUAGAGGCUGGAAGAGGUUAGUGGAAUUCCCAGUGUAGAGGUGAAAUUCGUAGAUAUUGGGAAGAACACCAGUGGCGAAGGCGGCUAACUGGUCCAGAUCUGACGCUGAGGUGCGAAAGCGUGGGGAGCAAACAGG